UACGUAGGGGGCAAGCGUUGUCCGGAUUUAUUGGGCGUAAAGGGCGCGUAGGCGGCCACGCACGUCCGUUGUGAAAUCGCCCGGCUCAACUGGGCGGGGUCGGCGGAUACGGCGUGGCUGGAGCAAGCUAGGGGGCAAUGGAAUUCCCGGUGUAGUGGUGGAAUGCGUAGAUAUCGGGAGGAACACCAGUGGCGAAGGCGGUUGCCUGGAGCUUUGCUGACGCUGAGGCGCGAAAGCGUGGGGAGCGAUCCGG
rnacentral:rRNA from 1 species